rnacentral:lncRNA from 1 species
UGACCGUGUCGUUCUCGAUUUAAAGUCAUGAAGAGUGCAGGAGUAAAAGAGUUGUGGCAUCUUCCCUUCUCAAAAGAACCAGGCUGUCGUGGGCCUUCCUUCCUUCUGUGGUUGUGCUGGAAGACGUCAUCAAAUUGUCUGUCCACGCGCCAGAUUCCUCUGGCCACUGAGCACUCCCCGACACGCGUCGCUUCCAGUAAGGCGAGCGCAGCGCAGCGAUUCAGUGCCACCUGUUGAACCCAGAGCGCGCCCUCCUCACCCCACCCAAGUCCCCUGCCACCGGCUCCGGAGGAUCUUUGACAAAUUGGAGGAGGCGGGGCCUCGCGAAGGAAAAGCUUAGAGGAAAAGACCCGGAAAGAGGCGCGAGACCGCAGUGGGAGGUGCGGCCCCGCCCCCGCCAGGGCGCGCCGCGGGAG